rnacentral:rRNA from 1 species
AUUGAACGCUGGCGGCAGGCCUAACAAAUGCAAGUCGAAAGAGUGGCGGACGGGUGCGUAAUAGCGGGGAAACUGCCCGAUGGAGGGGGAUAACUACUGGAAACGGUAGCUAAUACCGCAUACGAUCAGAUGUGCCCAGAUGGGAUUAGCUAGUAGGUGGGGUAAUGGCUCACCGAGGCGACGAUCCCUAGCUGGGCUGAGAGGAUGACCAGCCCCACUGAAACUGAGACACGUCCCAGACUCCUACGUGAGCCAGCAGCGUGUAAUAUUGCACCAUGGGCGCUAGCGUGAUGCAUCCAUGCCGCGUGAGUGAUGACGGCCUUCGGGUUGUAAAGCUCGUUAAGCGGGACGACGGUACCGGCAUAGAAAGCCACGGCUAACUACGUGCCAGCAGCCGCGGUAAUAC